rnacentral:rRNA from 1 species
AUACGUAGGGGGCAAGCGUUAUCCGGAUUUACUGGGUGUAAAGGGAGCGUAGACGGCAUGGCAAGUCUGAAGUGAAAGCCCGAGGCUCCACCACGGGACUGCUUUGGAAACUGUUAAGCUAGAGUGCAGGAGAGGUAAGUGGAAUUCCUAGUGUAGAGGUGAAAUGAGUAGAUAUUAGGAGGAACACCGGUGGUGAAGGCGGCUUACUGGACUGUAACUGACGUUGAGGCUCGAAAGCGUGGGGAGCAAACAGGAUUAGAUACCCUGGUAGUCCACGCUGUAAACGAUGAUUACUAGGUGUUGGGGACCUAUAGGUCUUCGGUGCCGCAGCAAACGCAAUAAGUAAUCCACCUGGGGAGUACGUUCGCAAGAAUGAAACUCAAAGGAAUUGACGGGG